rnacentral:lncRNA from 1 species
CUCUCUUGUUUGGGGUUGGGGGGUAGUUUCAGAAGCUUCCACUUGGCCUUCCCUCCUGUGAUGGCUCUUAUCCCACAGAUCAAGGACCCAGUGUGGUAACUGUAUCAACUACCAAGACAUAGAAAGAAGAUAGCCACCUAUGAACCAGGAAGCGGGCUCUCACCAGACACCAAAUCAGUGAGUGUCUUGACCUUGGACUUCCCAGCCUCCAGAACUGGGAUUGGUAAAACAGAUUUCUCGUAUCCUCCAGUAAGUAAAAGCUGCUACCAGGUGAAGGGGAGAAGAACAUUCUCACUGUCCGCAGACUAGGGAAGCAGCGGGCUAAGGUGCUCUUCCAUCUACUUCAAGUUCCAAGUUGCUUGAGGGUGCUUGUAGGUGGUGGGUACUAAAGGUGAGCCCUGCCAUGUGGAGCCAGGACAGA